CUGCGGAUGUGGCCUGCCGGCUCUUGUUGACUACUGUCCUAUUUUAGUACAACUUUACAAUGCAUUUUUGGACACAGUUGGGACAAAAAUAAAAAUAGAAAAGUACAGAAUCCAUUCACUAGCGAACGGGUACAAGGAAUCACCAGUGAAUCACUGUAUUGAUGAAAACCAUACAUCUCAUCAAAACCAAUCAUCGUCAUCAAAAAAAAAUAGGUAUACAAAUUACACGCGGAUGAAGUCAAUGGAAAAAGAAGGAGGGCUCCAACGCUCAACGGCAGAGGAAGAAACCGGGAAUACGCUCACAUGAAGAAAAGUUGA